GGUCUCGUGGCCAAGUGGCUUUACGGCAUCCGCCUCCUAUUAUAACAUUAGUUUUGGUAGCGGAAGAUCGCGCGUUCGAAUCGCGCCGAGAUCG